GUUGUCACUCCUUUGUUCUAUGUGUGUGCAGGGUUUGCUGUUAAAAGAUCGCUAGUGCUCGAAUUCACCCUUUUAACCAUUGUCUUAAUAUCAGCUUAAGAGCUGAUCAUCACCAGACAAUACUUAACAGACAGAAGGUUAUUUGAUAAAGACUAAAUAACUUUAAACGGUGUAUAAUUGCACAACAAAACUGAGAAGAAACCUGAAAAACACAAAAGUUACAACCUGACCUCAGUUUUACAGCUCAGUUCACUGCUGAUAAAAAGAGAAGAACUGAAAGGAAAGGUGUUUAAACUCACCUUGACAGGGGGCAGAGCCUCAGGUGAGUCAGUUACAGUCAGGUAUCAGAUCAGGGGAAACAGGUUCUGACUCCAUUUAGCAGCAGAACAGAACAGAGAGAAGACUCUGGAUCAGGGCUGACUGAAGUCCAGGAGAUGGAGAACAGAGCAGAACCUCCAGGAUCCAGCUGUCCAUCUAUGAGGAGUGACUGGUCCAAAUCUAACCCUCCAGACUUCAGUGAAGAACCUGGACCCUCAGAAGGUCAGAACCACAGACAGAGAGCAGAACCUCCAGGAUCCAGCUGUCCGUCUAUCAGGAGUGACUGGUCAAAAUCUAACCCUCCAGACUUUAGUGAAGAACCUGGACCCACAGACCCAGAACCAGGACCUGGACUGCUGGCAGCCAAUCAGAGCAGCUGU